GACGAACGCUGGCGGCGUGCUUAACACAUGCAUGUCGAACGAAGAGCGAUGGAAGCUUGCUUCUAUCAAUCUUAGUGGCGAACGGGUGAGUAACGCGUAAUCAACCUGCCCUUCAGAGGGGGACAACAGUUGGAAACGACUGCUAAUACCGCAUACGAUCUAAUCUCGGCAUCGAGGAUAGAUGAAAGGUGGCCUCUACAUGUAAGCUAUCACUGAAGGAGGGGAUUGCGUCUGAUUAGCUAGUUGGAGGGGUAACGGCCCACCAAGGCGAUGAUCAGUAGCCGGUCUGAGAGGAUGAACGGCCACAUUGGGACUGAGACACGGCCCAGACUCCUACGGGAGGCAGCAGUGGGGAAUCUUCCGCAAUGGACGAAAGUCUGACGGAGCAACGCCGCGUGAGCGAUGACGGCCUUCGGGUUGUAAAGCUCUGUUAAUCGGGACGAAAGGCCUUCUUGCGAAUAGUGAGAAGGAUUGACGGUACCGGAAUAGAAAGCCACGGCUAACUACGUG
rnacentral:rRNA from 1 species